CCGGACAAAGGCAAACCCGUUGCGAAGCGGGGACGCAAAGCCAUGGACCACACGUGCCGGCAGACGGUUGCCGGAGGCGUGUGGCCGCCAGGUUGCCAACA
rnacentral:ncRNA from 1 species